rnacentral:siRNA from 1 species
UUGUUAGUGCAGUUGUAGUUGG